GGGGCCCGCACAAGCGGAGGAACAUUGUGGUUUAAUUCGAUGAUACGCGAGGUAACUUACCUGGGCUUAAAUGUAGAGUGCAUUUUUUAGAGAUAGAAAUUCCCUUCGGGGCUUUCUGCAAGGUGCUGCAUGGUUGUCGUCAGCUCGUGCCGUGAGGUGUCGGGUUUAAGUCCCAUAACGAGCGCAACCCUUAUCGUUAGUUGCCAGCUGGUAAAGCAGGGGACUCUAGCGAAACUGCCACCGUAAGGUGAGAGGAAGUGGGGAUGACGUCAAAUCAGCACGGCCCUUAUGUCCAGGGCUACACACGUGUUACAAUGGCCGGCACAGAGGGCAGCUACCUGGUGACAGGAUGCUAAUCUCGAAAACCGGUCUCAGUUCGGAUCGAAGUCUGCAACUCGACUUCGUGAAGCUGGAUUCGCUAGUAAUCGCGCAUCAGCCAUGGCGCGGUGAAUACGUUCCCGGGCCUU
rnacentral:rRNA from 1 species